AAUAUGUGGGCAAGGGAGGUGCUGUGACAUGAGCUUAAGCCUACGUUAGCUUCUGAAACAACGGUCCUGUUGAUAUUAUCGCGCAUCAAUAUCUGGUGCUGGCCCCUGCUUUCUCGGCAGAAGAGGUGAGGUUUCCCGGAUGACUUUCAAACUUGCGGCAGCAGCCACGGCUGUCAUGCAAGUGAUGGGGUGAGCAAGAUGUGAGAGGUGAGUUGGGGACGAGAAGAACGGUACUGCCCGGAGUUGAUAGCACACGGCUGCUCCUCCUUUCUUGCAUUGUGUUUGCGUUGCAGGCUUGUUUCUCUUGGCAUGCCUCUAUCCUUUCACUCCUCUACAAAUCCAUUUGAGAGAGUCGUGACUUUCUUCAAAGACAGAAAGAGCAUGAAAGGGAACACAAACGAGCAUCACAGAAGCCGUGUCUCUGCGUCUCCCCAAAUGUAUUCCUCUUCAGCUACAUGCUGGACAACAAAACAGCAGUAUUCUCUACUGGAAUUGUUGGAAAAAAACAUCUGAUUGAUUUCCAUUUGAAUAAAAUAUCUGCCUUGCUAA